rnacentral:lncRNA from 10 species
UUUUGAGGCAGAGUCUCACUCUGUCACCCAGGCUAGAGUGCGGUGUCGCCAUCUUGGCUCACCCAACCUCUGCCUCAAGAUGGGAUUUUUUUAAAAGGGAUUUUUUAAAAAGUAGUUAAGCCACAGGGUUGAUGUAAAGAUUAAAUGAAAUAAUUAUGUGAGGUACCUAGUAUGAUGCCUGACAAGUAUAGGUAUUCUCCGAAUGUGAGUUCCCAUCUUUUCCUUUCUCUCCCCCUUCUCCUUUUUCCCCA